rnacentral:rRNA from 1 species
GGAAAGGCGCGCGAUACAGGGUGACAGCCCCGUACACAAAAAUGCACAUGCUGUGAGCUCGAUGAGUAGGGCGGGACACGUGGUAUCCUGUCUGAAUAUGGGGGGACCAUCCUCCAAGGCUAAAUACUCCUGACUGACCGAUAGUGAACCAGUACCGUGAGGGAAAGGCGAAAAGAACCCCGGCGAGGGGAGUGAAAAAGAACCUGAAACCGUGUACGUACAAGCAGUGGGAGCACGCUUAGGCGUGUGACUGCGUACCUUUUGUAUAAUGGGUCAGCGACUUAUAUUCUGUAGCAAGGUUAACCGAAUAGGGGAGCCGAAGGGAAACCGAGUCUUAACUGGGCGUUAAGUUGCAGGGUAUAGACCCGAAACCCGGUGAUCUAGCCAUGGGCAGGUUGAAGGUUGGGUAACACUAACUGGAGGACCGAACCGACUAAUGUUGAAAAAUUAGCGGAUGACUUGUGGCUGGGGGUGAAAGGCCAAUCAAACCGGGAGAUAGCUGGUUCUCCCCGAAAGCUAUUUAGGUAGCGCCUCGUGAAUUCAUCUCCGGGGGUAGAGCACUGUUUCGGCAAGGGGGUCAUCCCGACUUACCAACCCGAUGCAAACUGCGAAUACCGGAGAAUGUUAUCACGGGAGACACACGGCGGGUGCUAACGUCCGUCGUGAAGAGGGAAACAAC